CCAAUAGCGUAUAUUAAAGUUGUUGCAGUUAAAAAGCUCGUAGUUGAACCUCGGGAUCAAUGGGUCGGUCAUGCCAAUGGUAUGUACUGGCCUCAUUGGUUCUCACCUUCUAAGGAACCGCGAUGCCCUUAAUUGGGUGUCGCGGGGAACCAGGACCUUUACUUUGAAAAAAUUAGAGUGUUUAGAGCAGGCAUUUUGCU
rnacentral:rRNA from 1 species